rnacentral:rRNA from 1 species
GAUGAACGCUGACAGAAUGCUUAACACAUGCAAGUCUACUUGAUUCUACUUCGGUAGUUGAUGGUGGCGGACGGGUGAGUAACGCGUAAAGAAUCUGCCCUUUAGUUUGGGAUAACCUUUGGAAACGAAGGCUAAUACCGGAUAUUAUGGAGACGUCGCAUGGCGACUCCACGAAAGCUAUAUGCGCUAGAGGAGGACUUUGCGUCCCAUUAGUUAGUUGGUGAGGUAAUGGCUCACCAAGACCGCGAUGGGUAGCCGGCCUGAGAGGGUGAUCGGCCACAAGGGAACUGAGACACGGUCCUUACUCCUACGGGAGGCAGCAGUGGGGAAUAUUGGACAAUGGGCCACAAGCCUGAUCCAGCAAUUCUGUGUGCACGAUGAAGGUCUUCGGAUUGUAAAGUGCUUUCAGUAGGGAAGAAAAAAAUGACGGUACCUACAGAAGAAGCGGCGGCUAAAUAUGUGCCAGCCGCCGCCGUAAGAC